GCGGGCGUAGCUCAGUUGGUAGAGUCCCGGAUUGUGAUUCCGGUUGUCGCGGGUUCAAACCCCGUCGCUCGCCCCA
rnacentral:tRNA from 1 species